rnacentral:rRNA from 1 species
GACGAACGCUGGCGGCGUGCUUAACACAUGCAAGUCGAACGGAGAGGCCCUGCUUUUGUGGGGUGCUCGAGUGGCGAACGGGUGAGUAACACGUGAGUAACCUGCCCUUGACUUUGGGAUAACUUCAGGAAACUGGGGCUAAUACCGGAUAGGAGCUCCUGCUGCAUGGUGGGGGUUGGAAAGUUUCGGCGGUUGGGGAUGGACUCGCGGCUUAUCAGCUUGUUGGUGGGGUAGUGGCUUACCAAGGCUUUGACGGGUAGCCGGCCUGAGAGGGUGACCGGCCACAUUGGGACUGAGAUACGGCCCAGACUCCUACGGGAGGCAGCAGUGGGGAAUAUUGCACAAUGGGCGGAAGCCUGAUGCAGCAACGCCGCGUGCGGGAUGACGGCCUUCGGGUUGUAAACCGCUUUCGCCUGUGACGAAACGUGAGUGACGGUAAUGGGUAAAGAAGCACCGGCUAACUACGUG